rnacentral:rRNA from 1 species
GAAGGGUGCAAGCGUUAAUCGGACUUACUGGGCGUAAAGGGUGCGUAGGUGGUCUGUUAAGUUGGAUGUGAAAUCCCCGGGCUCAACCUGGGAAUGGCAUCCGAUACUGGCGGACUUGGAGUCUUGGAGAGGGUGGUGGAAUUCCUGGUGUAGCGGUGAAAUGCGUAGAGAUCAGGAGGAACACUAGUGGCGAAGGCGGCCACCUGGCCAAAGACUGACGCUGAGGCACGAAAGCGUGGGGAGCAAACAGGAUUAGAUACCCUGGUAGUCCACGCCCUAAACGAUGAUCACUGGACGUUGGGAGGAAUUGGCCUCUUAGUGUCGAAGCUAACGCGUGAAGUGAUCCGCCUGGGGAGUACGCUCGCAAGAGUG